rnacentral:rRNA from 1 species
AACGAACGCUGGCGGCAUGCUUAACACAUGCAAGUCGAACGAGACCUUCGGGUCUAGUGGCGCACGGGUGCGUAACGCGUGGGAAUCUGCCCUUUGCUACGGAAUAACUCAGAGAAAUUUGUGCUAAUACCGUAUAAUGUCGUAAGACCAAAGAUUUAUCGGCAAAGGAUGAGCCCGCGUAAGAUUAGCUUGUUGGUGGGGUAAAGGCCUACCAAGGCGACGAUCUUUAGCUGGUAUGAGAGGAUGAUCAGCCACACUGGGACUGAGACACGGCCCAGACUCCUACGGUAGGCAGCAGUGGGGAAUAUUGGACAAUGGGCGAAAGCCUGAUCCAGCCAUGCCGCGUGAGUGAUGAAGGCCUUAGGGUUGUAAAGCUCUUUUACCAGGGAUGAUAAUGUCAGUACCUGGAGAAUAAGCUCCGGCUAACUCCGUGCCAGCCGCCGCGGUAA